rnacentral:rRNA from 1 species
GGGUCCGCACAAGCGGUGGAACAUGUGGUUUAAUUCGACACUACGCGAGGAACCUUACCUGGACUUGACAUGUCUUUGACAGUUGUAGAAAUACAAUCUUCUAGGCUUCGGUCUAGACAAUUACACAGGUGCUGCAUGGCUGUCGUCAGCUCGUGUCGUGAGAUGUUGGGUUAAGUCCUUUAACGAGCGCAACCCUUGUCUCCAGUUGCCACUUGCGUAAGCAAAGCACUCUGGAGAGACUGCCUGGGAAACCAGGAGGAAGGUGGGGACGACGUCAAGUCAUCAUGGUCCUUAUGUCCAGGGCUACACACGUGUUACAAUGGUCGGUACAAAGAGAUGCAAGCUUGUAAAAGUAAGCCAAACUCAGAAAGCCGAUCUAAGUUCAGAUUGAGGUCUGCAACUCGACCUCAUGAAGUUGAAAUCGCUAGUAAUCGCAUAUCAGAACGAUGCGGUGAAUACGUUCUCGGACCUU